rnacentral:rRNA from 1 species
CACGUAGGGCGCAAGCGUUGUCCGGAAUUAUUGGGCGUAAAGAGCUCGUAGGCGGACUGUCACGUCCGCUGUGAAAAGCUAGGGCUUAACCCUGGCCUUGCAGUGGAUACGGGCAGACUAGAGGUAGGUAGGGGAGAAUGGAAUUCCCGGUGUAGCGGUGAAAUGCGUAGAUAUCUGGAGGAACACCGGUGGCGAAGGCGGCAUCCUGGACCAAUAUUGACGCUGAGGAGCGAAAGCUAGGGGAGCAAACGGG